rnacentral:rRNA from 2 species
GGGAUAACUCCGGGAAACCGGAGCUAAUACCGGAUAGUUCCUUGAACCGCAUGGUUCAAGGAUGAAAGACGGUUUCGGCUGUCACUUACAGAUGGACCCGCGGCGCAUUAGCUAGUUGGUGGGGUAAUGGCUCACCAAGGCGACGAUGCGUAGCCGACCUGAGAGGGUGAUCGGCCACACUGGGACUGAGACACGGCCCAGACUCCUACGGGAGGCAGCAGUAGGGAAUCUUCCGCAAUGGACGAAAGUCUGACGGAGCAACGCCGCGUGAGUGAUGAAGGUUUUCGGAUCGUAAAGCUCUGUUGUUAGGGAAGAACAAGUGCGAGAGUAACUGCUCGCACCUUGACGGUACCUAACCAGAAAGCCACGGCUAACUACGUGCCAGCAGCCGCGGUAAUACGUAGGUGGCAAGCGUUGUCCGGAAUUAUUGGGCGUAAAGGGCUCGCAGGCGGUUUCUUAAG